rnacentral:rRNA from 1 species
CCUACGGGUGGCAGCAGUGGGGAAUAUUGCACAAUGGGGGGAACCCUGAUGCAGCGACGCCGCGUGAGUGAAGAAGUAUUUCGGUAUGUUAAGCUCUAUCAGCAGGGAAGAAGAUGACGGUACCUGACUAAGAAGCCCCGGCUAACUACGUGCCAGCAGCCGCGGGAAUACGUAGGGGGCAAGCGUUAUCCGGAUUUACUGGGGGUAAAGGGAGCGUAGGCGGCAGGGCAAGUCUGGAGUGAAAGCCCCGGGCCCAACCCCGGGACUGCUUUGGAAACUGCCAUGCUAGAGUGCUGGAGAGGUAAGCGGAAUGCCUAGUGUAGCGGUGAAAUGCGUAGAUAUUAGGAAGAACACCAGUGGCGAAGGCGGCUUACUGGACAGUAACUGACGUUGAGGCUCGAAAGCGUGGGGAGCAAACAGGAUUAGAUACCCCGGUAGUC